CGCAUACCUUGUGCCUUUUGACGAGAGUGGUAAAUGUUACAGACAUAUUAUCAUGGAACUGUUCAGUCUAUUUUUUAUUUUUAUUUCCACUUCACUUUUAUCCAAGGAGACAGAAUUAUUUGCACUGUAUUUAUCAGUGGGACAAUAUUCCUACAACACUUUUGUAACGCGGAGUCAGAGACGUUCGGAUCCAUUUGCAGUAUUUUAUUAAGAGAGUGGUCAAACAGGCAGAGAUCAGGAAACAGCGUCACGUGUGUCAAGGGAUAUCCAGAAAUCAGUAACAAUACCAGGCAGAGGUUGGGGCAGGCAGCAGAGAAUCACAGUCGGUAUACACAAUCCAAGAUCAAACACGGAAGGCACAAACACAGGGAAACCGCUCGGAAAUGCCAGACAGAACUACAGUAAACAAGACUUCGCACUUAUUGAGAGUCCAAACACAGUAUAUAUAGGGGAGUGGUAAUGGGGAACACCUGGUGGUGAUUAGCCCUUAGCACGGGAUUAUGGGAAAUGGAGUUGGGAGAGACUGUCCUCGCUGCAGCCUGUAGCACGAUGACGUAGCUGGAUCAGAUCCAAUACGUACUGGACGUUGUUACGCGAAUGCGAGGUGGUGUGUUUCGGUGAUGUCAUAGACGCAUGCGCAGUAGAGAGUUGGUAAACGAUCGCACGUUUUUUGGUCUUCCGAGAAGAGUCUACAGAAAACGGUGGAUUAAUUAACAGUGAUUGUUUAUCGAUGAAUGUCUUUAAAAAGGGCAGUUGUCCAGUAAUUUCAAGGUGCACCAGGUGUGUACCAUGUUACCAUUAUAACACAGCACAGAAUAAGAACAUGGAGGACAGCCUAAGAAAAAUUGUAUCACCAAGUUAUCAGUUAACCUUCAAUGGUUAUGGUCAGAUAGUACUUGGUACACCUCCACAGUCCCUAAAUGAUAGUGAAAGACACACCUGUGAUAUUACACAAAUAGACCAAGUACACUACCCCAGCCAAGGUUCAGGGAUUGACAUGACAGCCCUACGAAAUGUGCAGCCAAACAGGGCAUGCUGGAUGCAUCCACAAAGCAGUGACCAAAUAAAGAUGAUAAAAAAUGCUUUAAAUGAAAAGGAAUCACGACAACAAUUUUUGGCACAAGUAGGAGCAACAAUUCUGAACAGAUCAGAUUUUUUUAUACCUUGGGACAUCCAAAUGAUGUUGAAGGGACUAUUUUGA
ensembl:lncRNA